GAGUGAACGCUGGCGGUAGGCCUAACACAUGCAAGUCGAACGGCAGCACAGUAAGAGCUUGCUCUUACGGGUGGCGAGUGGCGGACGGGUGAGGAAUACAUCGGAAUCUACUUUUUCGUGGGGGAUAACGUAGGGAAACUUACGCUAAUACCGCAUCCGACCUACGGGUGAACGCAGGGGAUCUUCGGACCUUGCGCGAUUGAAUGAGCCGAUGUCGGAUUAGCUAGUUGGCGGGGUAAAGGCCCACCAAGGCGACGAUCCGUAGCUGGUCUGAGAGGAUGAUCAGCCACACUGGAACUGAGACACGGUCCAGACUCCUACGGGAGGCAGCAGUGGGGAAUAUUGGACAAUGGGCGCAAGCCUGAUCCAGCCAUACCGCGUGGGUGAAGAAGGCCUUCGGGUUGUAAAGCCCUUUUGUUGGGAAAGAAAAGCAGCAGGUUAAUACCCCGCUGUUCUGACGGUACCCAAAGAAUAAGCACCGGCUAACUUCGUG
rnacentral:rRNA from 1 species